rnacentral:rRNA from 1 species
AUUGAACGCUGGCGGCAGGCCUAACACAUGCAAGUCGAACGAGCGGCGGACGGGUGAGUAAUGUAUGGGGACUGCCCGAUAGAGGGGGAUAACUACUGGAAACAGUAGCUAAUACCGCGUAUUAUCGGAUAACCCAUAUGGGAUUAGCUAGUAGGUGUGGUAACGGCUCACCUAGGCGACGAUCCCUAGCUGGUCUGAGAGGGUGAUCAGCCACACUGGAACUGAGACACGGCCCAGACUCCUACGGAGGCAGCAGUGGGGAAUAUUGCACAAUGGGCGCAAGCCUGAUGCAGCCAUGCCGCGUGUAUGAAGAAGGCCCUAGGGUUGUAAAGUACUUUCAGUGGGGAGGCGUUACCCACAGAAGAAGCACCGGCUAACUCCGUGCCAGCAGCCGCGGUAAUUC